ACAAGCAGCGGAGCGUGUGGUUAAUUCGAUGUUACACGAAGAACCUUACCAGGGUUUGACAUGCAAGUGGUAGGAAGCCGAAAGGUGACCGACCCUUCGGGGAGCUUGCACAGGUGCUGCAUGGCUGUCGUCAGCUCGUGUCGUGAGAUGUUCGGUUAAGUCCGCUAACGAGCGCAACCCUCACUGUGUGUUAUACGUGUCACACGGGACUGCCGGUUUUAAGCCGGAGGAAGGUGGGGAUGACGUCAAGUCAGCAUGGCCUUUAUAUCCUGGGCUACACACACGCUACAAUGGUCGGUACAAUAGGUUGCCAAGCCGCGAGGCGGAGCCAAUCCAUAAAGCCGGCCUCAGUUCAGAUUGUAGGCUGCAACUCGCCUGCAUGAAGAUGGAGUUGCUAGUAACCGCAGGUCAGCAAUACUGCGGUGAAUACGUUCCCGGGUCUU
rnacentral:rRNA from 1 species